GUGGGGAAUCUUGCGCAAUGGGCGAAAGCCUGACGCAGCCAUGCCGCGUGAAUGAUGAAGGUCUUAGGAUUGUAAAAUUCUUUCACCGGGGACGAUAAUGACGGUACCCGGAGAAGAAGCCCCGACUAACUUCGUGCCAGCAGCCGCGGUAAUACGAAGGGGGCUAGCGUUGCUCGGAAUUACUGUGCGUAAAGGGCGCGUAGGCGGACAGUUUAGUCAGAGGUGAAAGCCCAGUGCUCAACCUUGGAAUUGCCUUUGAUACUGGCUGUCUUUAGUACGGGAGAGGUGAGUGGAACUCCGAGUGUAGAGGGGAAAUUCGUAGAUAUUCGGAAGAACACCAGUGGCGAAGGCGACUCACUGGCCCGUUACUGACGCUGAGGCGCGAAAGCGUGGGGAGCAAACAGGAUUAGAAACCCUUGUAGUCC
rnacentral:rRNA from 1 species